rnacentral:rRNA from 1 species
CACGUAGGGUGCGAGCGUUGUCCGGAAUUAUUGGGCGUAAAGAGCUCGUAGGCGGUGUGUCGCGUCGGCCGUGAAAACCUGCAGCUUAACUGUGGGCUUGCGGUCGAUACGGGCAUCACUGGAGUUCGGCAGGGGAGACUGGAAUUCCUGGUGUAGCGGUGAAAUGCGCAGAUAUCAGGAGGAACACCCGUGGCGAAGGCGGCGACCUGGGCCAAUACUGACGCUGGAGGUGACGAAAGCCGUGGGGAGCAAACAGG